CUACGGAGGGUGCAAGCGUUACUCGGAAUCACUGGGCGUAAAGCGCGCGCAGGCGGCUUGAUAAGUUGGAUGUGAAAGCCUACGGCUCAACCGUAGAACUGCAUCCAAAACUGUCAAGCUAGUGUCUGGGAGGGGAAGAUGGAAUUAGUUGUGUAGGGGUAAAAUCCGUAGAGAUAACUAGGAAUACCAAAAGCGAAGGCGAUCUUCUGGAACGGUACUGACGCUGAGGCGCGAAAGCGUGGGGAGCAAACAGGAUUAGAAACCCUAGUAGUCC
rnacentral:rRNA from 1 species